AACAAUAUAUUUUUAAAAAUUGUGGCCACGUUGAAUUUCUGUUUUUCUGAUUACAGGUCAAAGCCAAGAGCCAUCAAUUCAAAAAGAAAGGCCUUUGAUGAACUUCAGAAUCCAGUCAUGGGCUGAGAGUCGGCAUUGACAAUCUUUCAACCAUUGUACCAAGACCUUAGUUUGUCGUAAUGGGAAGAAGUGGCAGCAGAGAGUGGCUCCAAGGCCUGGACUUGCUGUGCUUGAUUUACAUUUCUUCAUGCGGUGUCCAGGGACUGGAAGAAUUCUGCAUUCCAGGUUCUCCCCAGGACAUAGCACGGCCAUGGAUCUCCAUUGUCAAACUGAUGGGAUUUAGAGCCAUCUUGUAAACAUGUCUCUGGAUGUGUGUGAGAGGGUGUUUCUAGAGAAGCUUGUCUGAGCAGAGAAGACUUGCUUUCAUUCACCUUCUCCUCGGCUGGAGUUCUGGACUAAAUAGAGGGAGCUGCACAGAAUCACUUAUCUCCCCCUGCUUUCUGACUGUGGGGUGCCAUGUGACCAGCCGCCUAACACUCCUGAUGCUGUACCUUCCUCGCAUGCUGCAUGCGACCCUCAUACUACAGCCAAAAUAAAUCCUUCCUUCCCUAAGUUGUUUUUAUUAAG
rnacentral:lncRNA from 1 species